GUGAGUAACACGUGGAUAACCUACCUAUAAGACUGGGAUAACUUCGGGAAACCGGAGCUAAUACCGGAUAAUAUAUUGAACCGCAUGGUUCAAUAGUGAAAGACGGUUUUGCUGUCACUUAUAGAUGGAUCCGCGCCGCAUUAGCUAGUUGGUAAGGUAACGGCUUACCAGGGCAACGAUGCGUAGCCGACCUGAGGGGGUGAUCGGCCACACUGGAACUGAGACACGGUCCAG
rnacentral:rRNA from 1 species